rnacentral:misc_RNA from 1 species
GUAGUAGAAUCUCUUCUCGCAUCGGGUCCCGGGCGCGCGGCCAGCCGCUAAACCCCCCAAUCGUACCAACGG